rnacentral:ribozyme from 14 species
UCAUUGAUUUAUUGAUUUAUGUGUUAUUUGUUUUAUUUUGAUGAUUGCAGCAAUUAAUGAUGAUGAAAAAAAAGGUCAUCAUAUUA